AGAUUGAACGCUGGCGGCAUGCCUAACACAUGCAAGUCGAACGGGAGUAGCAAUACUCUAGUGGCGGACGGGUGAGGAAUACGUAGGAAUUUGCCCUUAAGUGGGGGAUAACCCGGGGAAACCCGGAUUAAUACCGCAUGACCUCGAAAGAGCAAAGUGGGGGAUCGCAAGACCUCACGCUUUUGGAGAAGCCUACGUCGGAUUAGCUAGUUGGUGAGGUAAUGGCUCACCAAGGCGACGAUCCGUAACUGGUCUGAGAGGAUGAUCAGUCACACCGGAACUGAGACACGGUCCGGACUCCUACGGGAGCAGCAGUGGGGAAUAUUGGACAAUGGGCGCAAGCCUGAUCCAGCAAUGCCGCGUGUGUGAAGAAGGCCUUGGUGUAAAGCACUUAAGUUGGGUAAGAAAAACUACGCUACUAACACAUGAGCUUGACGUACGACCAGAAUAAGCACCGCUAACUCUGUGCCAGCAGCCGC
rnacentral:rRNA from 1 species